UGAACCCUUGUGGAAGUACGUCAUUAUGAACAAGGGAUAGGGGUUGGUGCAUCCUCCUGUUGUUGUGUUUGAGCAGUUAGGCCUUUUUCAGCAUGCUAGUGGCCGUGGUCAUGCGUGGUGAGCGACCAUGCAUAUUGCUAGAUGCAGAUGUAAUUGCACAUCCAGGGGUUUCUAGUAACUUGGUUGGAGACGAAUGUACAUCAGCGAUGUGACUGCACUGCUGCUUUGGUUUUAGUGUUUGUUGGGUGACCGUUUUAACUUCGUCUGUCUUGGUCUUAUUUUGGUUAAUUGUUUGUAUGGGUUUUUUCUUUUUCUUUUAUUCAUUCAUGAGCAGCCAUUCAUUAACAUUUGAGUUAGCUGGGAGGCAAGUAAGAUAUAUUUGGCCUUGGUCUGCCAUUUUGUUUCUCCCGUUGGUGUAUAUGACUGC